GCCCGAAUGGCGGAAUCGGUAGACGCGCCGCACUCAAAAUGCGGUACCUCACGGUGUGUGGGUUCGAGUCCCACUUCGGGCA
rnacentral:tRNA from 1 species